UGUUAUUCUCGGUUGUGAAGCUAACUUGAAAUUUCUUUGUAUGCGGGGCAGAAGAUGUUUUUUUCUGUGUUUAAGGAAUGUUUUUCUUUAAAUUGGCGCAAUCGUAUAUUUUAUUUUUGGCGCAAUUGAUACCAUGUAAUUUUUAAACAGGUGGCGCAAACGUAGCAUUAGAGAAAAAAAGUUGUGGCGCAAAAGGACGCAUUUUUGGCGCAAACGGAUCUCUC
rnacentral:lncRNA from 1 species